UACGGAGGGUGCAAGCGUUAUCCGGAUUCACUGGGUUUAAAGGGUGCGUAGGUGGGCUAGUAAGUCCGUGGUGAAAUCUCCAAGCUUAACUUGGAAACUGCCGUGGAUACUAUUAGUCUUGAAUAUUGUGGAGGUAAGCGGAAUAUGUCAUGUAGCGGUGAAAUGCUUAGAUAUGGCAUAGAACACCGAUAGCGAAGGCAGCUUGCUACACAAUCAUUGACACUGAGGCACGAAAGCGUGGGGAGCAAACAGG
rnacentral:rRNA from 1 species